rnacentral:rRNA from 1 species
CGCGAACGGCUCAUUAUAACAGCUAUAAUUUACUUGAAUUUGACAACCCUACUUGGAUACCGGUGGUAAUUCUAGCGCUAAUACAUGCACCAAAGCUCCGACCGCGAGGGAAGAGCGCAUUUAUUAGAACAAAACCACACGGCUUCGGCCGUCCAAUGUUGACUCAGAAUAACUAAGCUGAUCGCAUGGUCUUGCACCGGCGACGUUUCUUUCAAGUAUCUGCCUUAUCAACUUUCGAUGGUAGUGUAUCUGACUACCAUGGUGAUGACGGGUAACGGAGGAUAAGGGUUCGACUCCGGAGAAGGGGCCUGAGAAAUGGCCACUACGUCUAAGGAUGGCAGCAGGCGCGCAAAUUACCCACUCUCAGUACGAGGAGGUAGUGACGAGAAAUAACAAGACCGUUCUCACAAGAGGCCGGUCGUUGGAAUGGGUACAAUUUAAACCCUUUAACGAGUAUCUAUGAGAGGGCAAGUCUGGUGCCAGCAGCCGCGGUAAUUCCAGCU